UAUCAAUAAGCGAGAAAAGAAACUAACAAGGAUUCCCYYAGUAACGGCGAGUGAAGCGGGAUGAGCUCAAAUUUAAAAUCUGGCUGGUUUACUAGUCCGAAUUGUAGUUUAAAGAAGCGUUUUCGGUGGCAGCCUGGGUAUAAAUCCUUUGGAACAGGGUAUCAUAGAGGGUGAGAAUCCCGUCUUUGACUCAGUGCAUGCUACUAUGUGAUACGUUUUCAAAGAGUCGAGUUGUUUGGGAAUGCAGCUCAAAAUGGGUGGUAAAUUUCAUCUAAGGCUAAAUAUUGGCGAGAGACCGAUAGCGAACAAGUACCGUGAGGGAAAGAUGAAAAGAACUUUGAAAAGAGAGUUAAACAGUGCGUGAAAUUGUUGAAAGGGAAACGCUUGACACCAGUCAUGCGAGCGGAAAAUCAGUCUUUUGCAGUGGGGAGUUGUGUGGGUUCGGACCGCAAGGCCGGCCUGUGCUGCAUCUCUGCUGUAAGUGAUGCACUUUUUCGUUUGCAGGCCAACAUCAGUUUCUUCUGCUGGACAAAACUCUUGAGAAGGUAGCAGCUUUGGCUGUGUUAUAGCUCUUGAGCGAUACAGUGGAGGGGACUGAGGUUUUCGCAGCGCGUGCUCUCGGGCAAGGCUGAUUGGGUGCUAUGGGAUCGUUCGGUGUACAAUGCAUGCAUUUUGCGCCGUGUCUUUUCUAUACUCGCUCAACUCGGCUCUUCCGCGCUUAGGAUGUUGGCUUAAUGGUUUUAAUCGACCCGUCUUGAAACACGGACCAAGGAGUCUAACAUAUAUGCAAGUGUUUGGGUGGCAAACCCAUGCGCGUAAUGAAAGUGAACGUAGGUGCGAUCCGCAAGGUGCAGCAUCGACCGAUCUUGAUAYUUUUUGGAUAGAUUUGAGUAAGAGCAUAUAUGCUGGGACCCGAAAGAUGGUGAACUAUGCCUGAAUAGGGUGAAGCCAGAGGAAACUCUGGUGGAGGCUCGUAGCGAUUCUGACGUGCAAAUCGAUCGUCAAAUUUGGGUAUAGGGGCGAAAGACUAAUCGAACCAUCUAGUAGCUGGUCUGC
rnacentral:rRNA from 1 species